UACGUAGGGUGCGAGCGUUUGUCCGGAAUUAUUGGGCGUAAAGGGCUCGUAGGCGGUUUGUCACGUCGGGAGUGAAAACUCAGGGCUCAACCCUGAGCGUGCUUCCGAUACGGGCAGACUAGAGGUAUGCAGGGGAGAACGGAAUUCCUGGUGUAGCGGUGGAAUGCGCAGAUAUCAGGAGGAACACCGGUGGCGAAGGCGGUUCUCUGGGCAUGACCUGACGCUGAGGAGCGAAAGCAUGGGGAGCGAACAGG
rnacentral:rRNA from 1 species